rnacentral:rRNA from 3 species
GUUGUUGGGUAGGGGAGCGUUCUGUAAGCCUGUGAAGGUGGCCUGUGAGGGUUGCUGGAGGUAUCAGAAGUGCGAAUGCUGACAUAAGUAACGAUAAAGCGGGUGAAAAGCCCGCUCGCCGGAAGACCAAGGGUUCCUGUCCAACGUUAAUCGGGGCAGGGUGAGUCGACCCCUAAGGCGAGGCCGAAAGGCGUAGUCGAUGGGAAACGGGUUAAUAUUCCCGUACUUGGUGUUACUGCGAAGGGGGGACGGAGAAGGCUAUGUUGGCCGGGCGACGGUUGUCCCGGUUUAAGCGUGUAGGCUGGUUUUCCAGGCAAAUCCGGAAAAUCAAGGCUGAGGCGUGACGACGAGGCACUACGGUGCUGAAGCAACAAAUGCCCUGCUUCCAGGAAAAGCCUCUAAGCAUCAGGUAACAUCAAAUCGUACCCCAAACCGACACAGGUGGUCAGGUAGAGAAUACCAAGGCGCUUGAGAGAACUCGGGUGAAGGAACUAGGCAAAAUGGUGCCGUAACUUCGGGAGAAGGCACGCUGACACGUAGGUGAAGUGAUUUACUCAUGGAGCUGAAGUCAGUCGAAGAUACCAGCUGGCUGCAACUGUUUAUUAAAAACACAGCACUGUGCAAACACGAAAGUGGACGUAUACGGUGUGACGCCUGCCCGGUGCCGGAAGGUUAAUUGAUGGGGUCAGCGCAAGCGAAGCUCCUGAUCGAAGCCCCGGUAAACGGCGGCCGUAACUAUAACGGUCCUAAGGUAGCGAAAUUCCUUGUCGGGUAAGUUCCGACCUGCACGAAUGGCGUAAUGAUGGCCAGGCUGUCUCCACCCGAGACUCAGUGAAAUUGAACUCGCUGUGAAGAUGCAGUGUACCCGCGGCAAGACGGAAAGACCCCGUGAACCUUUACUAUAGCUUGACACUGAACAUUGAGCCUUGAUGUGUAGGAUAGGUGGGAGGCUUUGAAGUGUGGACGCCAGUCUGCAUGGAGCCGACCUUGAAAUACCACCCUUUAAUGUUUGAUGUUCUAACGUGGACCCGUAAUCCGGGUUGCGGACAGUGUCUGGUGGGUAGUUUGACUGGGGCGGUCUCCUCCUAAAGAGUAACGGAGGAGCACGAAGGUUGGCUAAUCCUGGUCGGACAUCAGGAGGUUAGUGCAAUGGCAUAAGCCAGCUUGACUGCGAGCGUGACGGCGCGAGCAGGUGCGAAAGCAGGUCAUAGUGAUCCGGUGGUUCUGAAUGGAAGGGCCAUCGCUCAACGGAUAAAAGGUACUCCGGGGAUAACAGGCUGAUACCGCCCAAGAGUUCAUAUCGACGGCGGUGUUUGGCACCUCGAUGUCGGCUCAUCACAUCCUGGGGCUGAAGUAGGUCCCAAGGGUAUGGCUGUUCGCCAUUUAAAGUGGUACGCGAGCUGGGUUUAGAACGUCGUGAGACAGUUCGGUCCCUAUCUGCCGUGGGCGCUGGAGAACUGAGGGGGGCUGCUCCUAGUACGAGAGGACCGGAGUGGACGCAUCACUGGUGUUCGGGUUGUCAUGCCAAUGGCACUGCCCGGUAGCUAAAUGCGGAAGAGAUAAGUGCUGAAAGCAUCUAAGCACGAAACUUGCCCCGAGAUGAGUUCUCCCUGAGACUUAGAGUCUCCUGAAGGAACGUUGAAGACGACGACGUUGAUAGGCCGGGUGUGUAAGCGCAGCGAUGCGUUGAGCUAACCGGUACUAAUGAACCGUGAGGCUUAACCUUAC